AUCUCUUCUUGGCCUUUUGGGUAAGAUCAAGUGUAAUUCUUACCUGUUCUUAUCAGUAUAAUGUCUGAUAUGUCCUCUGUCCAUUCUAU
rnacentral:snRNA from 1 species